rnacentral:rRNA from 1 species
CCUACGGGAGGCAGCAGUGGGGGAUAUUGCACAAUGGGGGAAACCCUGAUGCAGCGACGCCGCGUGUGGGAAGACGGUCCUCUGGAUUGUAAACCACUGUCCCCAGGGACGAAGAUGACGGUACCUGGGGAGGAAGCUCCGGCUAACUACGUGCCAGCAGCCGCGGUAAUACGUAGGGGGCGAGUGUUGUCCGGAAUUACUGGGGGUAAAGGGGGCGUAGGCGGGACGGCAAGUUGAGGGUCAACGCUACCGGCUAACCCGGUAGCCGCACUCAAAACUGCAGGUCUUGAGUGAAGUAGAGGCAGGCGGAAUUCCUAGUGUAGCGGUGAAAUGCGUAGAUAUUAGGAGGAACACCAGUGGCGAAGGCGGCCUGCUGG